AGCAUCGGCCGGGAAUCGAACCCGGGUUGCCCGCCGCGUGGCAGGCGAGCAUUCUACCACUGAACCACCGAUGC
rnacentral:tRNA from 1 species